AAACCAUGCAUAGGGUAUUUGCAUAGUAAAUCUUUAAAUAGCUCCCAAACUUCAUAUAAAUUAUCAUCCUCCAAUUUCUUGAAAGAUGUGAUGUCGUUCCUCAAUCU